UACGUAGGGUGCAAGCGUUAAUCGGAAUUACUGGGCGUAAAGCGUGCGCAGGCGGUCCGUUAAGACAGAUGUGAAAUCCCCGGGCUAACCUGGGAACUGCAUUUGUGACUGGCGGACUCGAGUAUGGCAGAGGGGGGUAGGAAUUCCACGUGUAGCAGUGAAAUGCGUAGAGAUGUGGAGGAAUACCGAUGGCGAAGGCAGCCCCCUGGGCCCAUACUGACGCU
rnacentral:rRNA from 1 species